GACGAACGCUGGCGGCGCGCCUAACACAUGCAAGUCGAACGAGCGAGAGAGAGCUUGCUUUCUCGAGCGAGUGGCGAACGGGUGAGUAACGCGUGAGGAACCUGCCUCAAAGAGGGGGACAACAGUUGGAAACGACUGCUAAUACCGCAUAAGCCCACGGUGCCGCAUGGCACAGAGGGAAAAGGAGCAAUCCGCUUUGAGAUGGCCUCGCGUCCGAUUAGCUAGUUGGUGAGGUAAUGGCCCACCAAGGCGACGAUCGGUAGCCGGGCUGAGAGGUUGAACGGCCACAUUAAGACUGAGACACGGCCCAGACUCCUACGGGAGGCAGCAGUGGGGAAUAUUGCACAAUGGGGGAAACCCUGAUGCAGCGACGCCGCGUGGAGGAAGAAGGUCUUCGGAUUGUAAACUCCUGUUGUUGGGGAAGAUAAUGACGGUACCCAACAAGGAAGUGACGGCUAACUACGUG
rnacentral:rRNA from 1 species